CCUACGGGGUGCAGCAGUGAGGAAUAUUGGUCAAUGGACGCGAGUCUGAACCAGCCAUGCCGCGUGCGGGAAGACGGCUCUAUGGGUUGUAAACUGCUUUUGUACGGGAGUAAACGCAGAUACGCGUCUCUCUCUGAAAGUAUCCUACGAAUAAGGAUCGGCUAACUCCGUGCCAGCAGCCGCGGUAAUACGGAGGAUGCGAGCGUUAUCCGGAUUUAUUGGGUUUAAAGGGUGCGUAGGCGGUCGGAUAAGUCAGAGGUGAAAUCCCGAGGCUCAACGUCGGAAUUGCCUUUGAUACUGUUCGGCUAGAGAGUAGUUGAGGCAGGCGGAAUGUAGGGUGUAGCGGUGAAAUGCGUAGAGAUCAGACAGAACACCGAUGGCGAAGGCAGCCUACCAAGCUAUUACUGACGCUGAGGCACGAAAGCGUGGGGAGCAAACAGGAUUAGAUACCCCAGUAGUC
rnacentral:rRNA from 1 species